GUGCUUGCUUCGGCAGCACAUCUACUAAAAUUGGAAUGAUAGAAGACUAGCAUGGCCCCUGCGCAAGGAUAAUAAGCAAAUUUGUGAAGCGUUCCAUCUUAAA
rnacentral:snRNA from 1 species